CUAUUUUCUUCAAGCUUUUAACAUUAUAUUUAAUUACAAGAAUAAUGUUUUGAGCAAAUGACUAGUAAUCAGGAGCCCUGUAUCCCAUUCCUGGAACAGAAAAGCAAAUGCUCAAAUUUAAGGACCUGUCCUGAAUGAAGCUGCUUUCUGGAAUUAAAAUUUUUAAUCUGAUCACUGUUCUCUGUGCCUUUGCCAUUAUCAGUCAGGGCAUCAUCUUGCCAAAGUGGCAGACACUCUUGCCAUUGGUGUCAGGAAAUUGUCAUCUGGAUAACUCCUUGCAGGUCCAGGAUCUCGAUGGGACAGACAUCUGGCUUCCCAGGAUGCCAGUUCUCUGGUGUAGAUGUUUUUAUUGACUUCUAAAUGAUCUAUUUGAUUAAGACCUGAGCGUUUUCUAGAAUUGGAAGUUCCUUCGCUGAAGAAGUGUGUUGAUUCCAGCUUAUUAACUGCAUAAGCUACAAGCCUCAUCAAAAGAGCAAAAAUCCUGUCUUAUUCCACCUUCAGUCUGAUCACAGCCCUUUUGGAAGUUUGUGGUCAUGCCCAUAUUCAAGGAUAUGCUGACCUCUUGCCUCUUUUCUUUUUAGCUUGGUUUUCAUGCAUAAAGUGCUAGACCAUUCUGAAAGUGCUCUGUGCUUUCUUCCACAUUAAUGGAGAGCUCUGCUUGCAUGUCUGCCUGUUUCCAUCCUGGUUCUCACAUGGUCCUUGAAGAAGGACCCUGGGGGAGCCUUGGAUCAUGUUGUACCAACUCCCCACCAAAAUUCCUAGGCAGUUUUCCCUGACAGCGAUGCUGAGUAAAACACACUGUAAAAACAUGAAAGAGGCACAAGUAGAAAAGUUACAGGCCUACUUGGAGAGCCUGAGGUAGCUAAUCUGUUACAGUCCUGCAACCUCAGUGAUGAUUGCUUAUCACUCUAAGAGUUUAGUAAGGGGCAAAAAAAAAAAUUUGAAUAAAAAAUUCCCCACAAGUUAUAAAAAUUGAAUC
rnacentral:lncRNA from 1 species